AUUGAACGCUGGCGGCAGGCCUAACACAUGCACGUCGAACGAGUGGCGGACGGGUGAGUAAUGUCUGGGAAACUGCCCGAUGGAGGGGGAUAACUACUGGAAACGGUAGCUAAUACCGCAUACCAUCGGAUGUUCCCAUAUGGGAUUAGCUAGUAGGUGGGGUAACGGCUCACCUAGGCGACGUUCCCUAGCUGGUCUGAGCGGAUGACCAGCCAAACGGGAACUGAGACACGGUCCAGACGCCUACGGGAGGCAGCAGUGGGGAAUAUUGCACAAUGGGCGCAAGCCUGAUGCAGCCAUGCAGCGUGUAUGAAGAAGGCCUUCGGGUGGUAAAGUACUUGCAGCGAGGAGGCGUUACUCGCAGAAGAAGCACCGGCUAACUCCGUGCCAGCAGCCGCGGUAAUUC
rnacentral:rRNA from 1 species